rnacentral:lncRNA from 9 species
AGACCCUGCUUUCAAAGUUGAUUUUAAGCCUUUUUUUCUAGGACUGUACCUGAUAAAUUUGAUUUUUUUCUAUAUAUACAAUGUGGGUUUUUUUGUUUUUGUUUUUGUCUUUGUUUGGGCUGCGGCAGGCAUCAGCUUGAUGUGGGAUCUCAGUUCCCAGACCAGGGGUCAUUGAGGCAAAGCUGCAGCAGUGAAAGUGCCGAAUCCUAACCACUAGACCACCAGGGAACUCCCUAGAUUUGAGUCUUAUAAAGAUCAGUCAUGGGAGUUCCUGUGGUGGCUCAGCAGGUUAAGAAGCCAACGUAGUGUCUGUGACGAUUCUGGUUCGAUCCCUGGCCUCACUCAGUGGGUUAAGGAUCCGGUGUUGCUGUGUCUGUGGUGUAGGCUGGCAGCUGCAGCUCAGAUUCACCCCUGGACUGGGAACUUCCGUAUGCUGUGGGUGUGGCCGUAAAAAGAAAAAAGAAAAGGAAAAGAAAAAAAAAAAAGAUCGGUUAUGAAAGCUGUGUACUCUAUGCAAGACGUUGAUUCUUAGAUGAAGAUUCUGAUGCUGUGAGAGCAAUUCUGGAAAACAGAAGCAAGAUCCCGGCGUGCAGAGAGGAGCAGGGAGGGGGAGGGGCGCAGCAGUGAGUGCACGUGUGGGAACACCAGGUCCCACCUGGGCCCCCAUCCCCUGCCAGCACCCCCAGGGUGGCCCUUCUCUCCCUCCCGCCAGGCUGGCCUUGGCAGACGCUGCUGCCCCCGCUCACCCCAUCAGAUGCAAUGAAGGGGAAAUCGGAUUUGCUGCUAAUUGGACUCUCUGUGGGCAAUUAGGGUUCAGCUGACAAGAGGGGACUACCAGACACUGGAAAUUUCAGGGUUUUUCAUCAUAUUCCUGGGAAGUUCUUCCAGAAUCGAAGAGGUUAUAAGUCAGGAUACUGAUUUGCUGGAUUGUAAACCACUUUAAAUCAGUGCACUUGCAUGGAAACAGCCAGUAUAAGCACUGCCAUCAUAUAUAUUAUCAUAUAAAAAGUUUAUAUAUAGUACAGAGUGUAUGUAUAGUAUUCAGGGAGUAAUUGUGUGUGUGUGUACAUACACCAUACGGUGUAUGUGUAGAUACAUACACAUUUAUAUAUGUAUAAAAUGUGGUGUGUGUGUGUGUGUGUAUAGACACAUUGUAUAUAUAUCGAUAUAAAAUAUGGUGUGUGUAUACAGUACAUGGUAAACAGCUUACCCCUAAACAACAUGGGUUGGAACUGGCUGGGUCCACUUACACAUGGAUGGUUUUCCAUAGUAAGUACUCCACGUUACAGCAUCUGAGGUUAGCUGAAUCCUCGGAGGCAGAACCAGGAGACCAGGAGGAUUGUGUAUUUGGAGGCUGAUUGUAAGUCAUACGGGAAUUUUUGUCGGCACAGUGGCUGAGGGUCUUUAACCUGUGCAUUGCUGAAGGGUCAACUGUAUGUAUGUAUAUUAUAGUUUAUGAUCUAUAUAUAGUAUAUAGCAUACACACUCUAUGUUAUAUAUAGUAUAUGGUGUAUAUGCGUGUGGGUGUGUGUAUUUUUAUUUACACAUAGAUACACAUCUCCAGGUAAGUGAGGAUAUGUAAUAAAAAUGCACGGGGCAGUUUCCUUUUUAUUUCCUAAAUUACCUAAUCUUUAAUUCCCACCUAUAAUCAGUUGUUCACAGAUGAAGAAGGCUGAGGCAUUGCUCCUGAGCGCUCUCUCAGCCCCUGAGCUCAAAGGCAGAUGCCUCUGUUUCACUGCCUGAUCCACCCCAUCAUUUAAUCCUUCAUCAUGUGAAUUACAUCAUUAGUCAACAAGCCUUCACUGAUCGUCCGCUCUCUGGGAAGCGAACACAGCGAAUGCGCUGCUUGGCUGCAUCCACGUGUUUGUGGCGAAGUUCUCCCCGUGGAUGGCUGUGAUUCGAGAGGAAAGGUGUUCCUGGAUCAGUGCAGACCGAGUUUCGGAGGGUCCCUGACUCGCUGACGGGGCUCCUGAUGGAUUUGCCGUCUUGGAGACAGCUGAUCUGGUGCCUCUCCAUCCUUCCCUUCUUUCCACCGGCUUUCCUGUCUCCAUGGUUACCAGGAUUCCAAUGUUACCACGGUGUAUCCUGAACAGGAAGCCGUCGUCCAGUCUCUCCUGGGAUUUACGGAUGGUGUCCCUCUCUCUCCCUCGUCUAUUCCUCCCAAGUGUCUGUAUUUCAUUGAUUCUCUGAUGCCCACUGUUUGUAUUUGCACAUUUCGGAGACUGGUCUACAUUUAAAAUCAGUGGUGGAUCCUAAUUUGUUAGGUUUCUUUCUCUCUUAGUGGCACGCCAAGUCAUGGUACUACUGACUAUAGUUUAGAUUUGCUGGAAUAUUCCAACUGGGGCCUUGAGUGAUCCUGAACCAGUGGGAGUGGUUUUAACAACCCCCUUCCCAGUGCGGUGAGGACAGAGGCAUCUUGUUAAAAAAAGGUGCUUUCCUGUCACUUCUGGAACCUUCCAGGUGCUGUCUUUUACUCUACAUCAGACCCACCUGACUCUGUUUUGGCAGCUGUGGCUUUUGUCUUUCUGCCCCUGCCUGGUGUCUGUUUCCUGCCUGGGUUUCCCUUUCCUUCCGUGGGGCUGUCUGUACCCCCAAAUCCUGCCUUUGCCUCUAGGCUCCAUCCCCUGCUUUGUCCUGGCUCCGUGUUCUGCAGUCCGGGGACACUCUCGCCGGUGGGUGCCCAGCCGAGUCUCGUGGUCCUGCUGGAGCAGAGACGGAGCCUGCCCACCUGCUGGGGAGAGAUGAUCUGAAGAGGAACUCAGACUCUGGUUUUGAUGUUUGCAAAGCUUCAGCAUGUUGCACAGCUACUGGCACAUAAUGAGACUCGCAAAAUGCUUGUGAUAAAUCCAUGAGCCAACUGCUGCAUUAUUUUCGUCUCGGUGACGUAUGGGUGCAGAAAUCUACUUGUUGUGUAUUUUUUCCACAAUGAGAAGGCAGAGUGCAGAGCUGUUCCCUAGCAGGGCUGGGGCCUCUGGUCUCGAGCCUUUGUUGACCUUUUCAUUUAGAGGAGGUGGUGGUGGUUUUUUUUUUCUGCUCUCCCCCCUCCCAGGCUGGGACUGGUUAACUCUGCUGGGGCCGAGCGAGGUGGGGCAGCUAUGGCUUGUCUUCCCUCUCUGCACAGCCUCACACCUGGCUGGCCUUGACAUUCCCAGUUUCCCUGGGGCAGGUCCAAGUUUGCGGCUGAGCCCGAGCUGCGGCGAGGUGCAUCUCCACGGCCUUUGCCUUCCAGUUCAGUCCUAAAGAGGCUGUUUGCAUCCGCCAAACAUCUAGGAUUCAGUCCUGCUCCCUCCUCUGGCUUUGACCUCACUCUUCUGUAAAGGCUGGCUCUUAACCUGGUUAAUGUCCUCACUAAGGGCAGCUCUCCAUCUGUGAGGACAACGGAGCUUCCCUGUGAAUCGAGCACUUUCUUAACACACUGGAGGGCCAGGGACAUUAGGAGACAAGGUCCCUGCCUUCUCGAAGCUUCCCUCCCACUCAGCAACAUACUGAAAAGAAGAGCUAGCCAUGCAAUAGCUCCUAUCAGACUGGUUUAUUCACACGACUAUCGUGAUUUUUCAGGACUCUUCAUUCUAAUCUAGAUCUUGAUGUCCUAGUUCAGAUUUCUUCUAGAAAGCAGGUCUGAUCCUUCUUUUCCUUAGGGGCUGUGGAGGUGGGUGGUUUUUCCCUAAGAUGGGCACCAAUGAGGUGUUUUGCAGUGAUGCGUUAUCUGGACUCCUAUGAGCUCAUGUUAAAAUAUUCAGGCAUGUUCAGGCAAGCUCAGGAAUAACGAACUCGACUAGUAUGCACGAGGACACAGGUUCGAUCCCUGGCCUCGCUCAGUGGGUUAAGGAUCCGGCAUUACUGUGAGCUGUGGUAUAGGCCACAGAUGUGGCUUGAAUCCUGAGUUGCUUUGGCUGUGGCAGAGGCUGGCAGCUGUAGCUCUGAUUUGACCCCUAGACGGUGCGGCCCUAAAAAGACCAAAAAAAAAAAAAAAAAAGAGAGAGAGAUUAAAAUAUUCAGGCAUGUUGCUAGUUGCUGGGCCACGGGAAGAGUGUUUUCCCCAGAGAACUCAGCCAGCACUACCUCAUGCCCCACCCCUUGGAGACCCAGUUACCCCAGCACCGCCGAUGCCUCUGCAUAGAGCGACUGGAGGUGUCAUGGUUGAUUAAUUUGCUUUUUCAGUUGUGAAUUUGUUUUUCUGGCCACACCCAUGGCAUACGUUAGCUCCCAGGCUGGAGAUCUAAGUAGCACCACAGCAGCGAACUGAGCCACAGCAUAACUAUGUCAGAUCCUUAACCUGCUGUGCCACCAGGGAACUCCUAGCUGUGAAUUUUAUCAAGAACUGGUAUUCACAAGGAGGUGGGGAGAGGCAUGCCAUGAGAGCAUGAGUAGUGCACAGUCAGGCGGAGGCUCCUGUGCUGAAAACCACACUGGCCUUGACGAUGGGAGAGCCACAUCCAGGCGCCGCAGGCGGUAUCCUGGGUCUACCUGGCUGCAGUUCUCCUUCCAGCAACUGCACCCGUCCCUGCUGCUGUGAGCAAGCCAGAACUCACGCCCCCACCCUCCCCAGAGGUUUGCCCUUGACCGAAGGAGCCCCUCCCAGUCCCCCCUCCCCUUCCCACCGGGGCACAAACCUGCCCUUGCCGAGGCGAGGCAGCUGUGGAAGAGUGUAGCUGCUUGUGUUUAAGCGCUUAGCAUCUUUGGAGUUUCUCCUAAUUAAAGGCAACCAGGCAAAUACUUGAGGGUGAAAUAAACCAUUAACUGUCGAGUGAAACCAGACAUUGUGGGGGUUCCCCCCUCAGUUGCAGCAAACCCUGCAAGCCCUCAUUUCAGAAAAAGAGCCGAGAGCGAAAAGGACCCUUCAGCCCCCUCGACUCCACGGCAAUGCCAUGGCCCCAGUAUGGGUGUGAGGCAGUGGGCCCUGUGUACACUUUCGCAGCUGGUAUUAUCAGCAUUCCUUUGCUCACUUCAAAUUCCUGGCUCCAGCCUGACUUACUCAGGGCGUGGGGGGGGUGCUCCCUGGGAAAGAUGGUGCAGUGAGUGACCCCCCCCUUCCCCGCCGGGGGUGCUGAUGCUGACAUAGGACUGAACAGCUGGAAGGAACAGGCCAUGCAGAGCCCCGGAGGAGGAGCCCAGGGCGGCCCAGCAUCUUGGAGGAAUGGAAGGCAGGCUCAGGUGCAGCCGCGGAGGUGGGUUGGGGGGGGGUGCUGAGUAAGAGGAGGGAGCCCGAGGCUGGGGCCACCAGGCGGCUCUGGGGACCCUGCUCAGCCAGGGCAAGCCAUUCCCCAUGUUUCCAGAGUAUAAAACCCCGGGGCCCUUCACCCUGGUUAAGCACCCACCAGGCUAACUGACCUUCUGGAAGACCUCCAGGCCGGCUGACUCACACAUAUUUUUUCCAUCAGAGUGGCUAAAACAGGUAUUUCCCAACAUAUGUGGAAACCGGAUCACUCGGACAAGCAGAACAAAAUACCCACUGCCUUCCUCCUCCACGAAUCACUAACACGUCGACAUGAUCCCCGGUCUGUGCGUAGCCCGACAGCCCAGCCCGGCACUGUGGUUGCAGUAAACGUUUCCUGCAGACCUGCCGGCCCUUGCCUCUACAGGCACACCCCGGAAACCCACACCCCACCUGCAGUCUCCCUGUUCCGGGUUCGAGGUCAGUUUCAGGGGGCAGCCAGGUGGCAGGUCUACCUGAUGGGACGCUGGGAUCCAGGGCCAUGGCUGGGGGGCCAGGAGGAUCAACCAUCACACGGGCUCUUCCCCCCACCCCCCGCCCCCGGGGGUGGCCGCAGGGAGUUGCGAAACCGGCAGAGUUUGUUUUCAAAGCUCCCCGCCUCCAGAGAUGGUCUGAGAGGCUCCAGAAAAGAUGGGUUUAUGGAGAUGAGUUGAUAGCGAACGUUGAGUGGAAAUUGUGCCCUUUGAGUCUCCUGCUGGUGGCUUUGGAAGUCACAGAGUUGAAGGCAAUUUUUUUUCUAGUCCUUUUACUGUCUUCCCAUCAAAAUGACUCAAGUGCUCCAUACCCGGGGCCAGAGACAUAAAAGUCAACCAGCCGGGUCAGAGCCCUGGCGUCCUGGCAGAUGUCAGUCAGUCAGUGUGGAUACAGGAACGGGCCACUCUUAGGGGUGUGAGCGACCCCCUCCAGGAGCGUUUCUGAUGGAGGGGCCUCAGAAAGGAGAGCCCUCCGGGGCUGCUGCUGCCCGAGGAUGCAGCCAAGAGGCCACGUCCUGAGGAAGCCUGGAUGCCAGUUUCAUCAGUUUCACUGUUCUUUCUGAAGAUUUGAAAGCCAUAGAAAAAUUUUUUUUCUUUCUUUUUUGGGCCGAACCUGCGACAUAUGGAAUUUCCCAGGCUAGGGGUCCAAUCGGACCUAUAGCUGCUGACCUACACCACAGCCACAGCAACGAGGGGUCCGAGCUGCAGCUUGUGGAAACACAGGCUUCUCAACCCAUUGAGCGAGGCCAGG